UGAAAUGAAUUGUUUUCUGCUUUCAAAGUC
rnacentral:piRNA from 1 species